rnacentral:snoRNA from 2 species
UGUUUGCUGUGAUGAAUCACAAAGACGGUAUCUGAGUCAGGCUAGCUCUUGAAAAAGGCCUCCUUCCUUGAUUACACAUCCCAAACUGAUCAUAUAUUCUGAGCGAACA